AAUUAUUAAUCUUUAUAAUUUUACUAUCAAAUCCACCUUCAAUAAACAUUUCAAAUUUAUAUUCAUUUAAAUAUUUUUAUUGUAACCCAUUUCUACUUAAAUAUUAGCUACACCUUGAUCUGAUAUAUUUUCUUUUUAAAAAUUAUGAAAAUUAACAUUCUUAUAAAAUAUUCUAAUAACGACGGUGUAUAAACUGAUUACAAACUUAAGUAAGGUCCAUCGUGGAUUAUCGAUUACAGAACAGGUUCCUCUGAAUAGACUAAAAUACCGCCAAAUUUUUUAAGUUUCAAGAACAUAACUACUACUACCUUAGUUUUUAAAUUUACAUUUUAAAUAAUAGGGUAUCUAAUCCUAGUUUAUUAUUAAAAUUUUCAAGCUUCAAUUAUUUUAUAUAAAAAAUU
rnacentral:rRNA from 1 species